UAUGAAUAUUCACAGCAGUUUUAUUUGUAAUAGCCAAAAACUGGAAACAACCCCAAUGUCUUUCAAUGGGUGAAUGGUUAAAUAAACUGUGGUACAUCCAUACCAUGGAAUAUUAAUCAACAAGAAAAAGAAAUGAACUACUGAUACAUGCACCAGCUUGGAUGAAUCUCCAGGGCAUGUUGCUGAGUGAAAAAAAGCCAGUUCCUCAAACAUUACAUACUGUUUGAUUUCACUUAUAUAACAUUCUUGACAUGACACAAUUAUAGAGGUGGAGGACAGAUAAGUGGUUGCCAGGUGUUAGGAAUGGAAGGAGGGAAGUGGCUAUAGCUAUAAAAAUGUAGUGGGGGCUCCUUGUGAUGGAGCUAUUCUGUAUCUUGACUGUGGUGGUCCCCAUGAAUCCUCACAUGUAAUAAGGCUGCAUAGAAUUAAAUACACAGAGACGUACACAAAUGAAUACAUGUCACACUGUCACACUGAUGAUGAAAUCUGAGUAAGGCCAAUGGAUUGUAUCAGCAUCAAUUUCCGGGUUGUCAUAUGGCACCACAAGAUGUUAUCACUGGACGAAAGGUGUAAGAGAUAUCUCUGCGUCAUUUCUUACAAUGGCAUGUACACAUACAAUUAUCACAAAAAUCAGAUAAAAUUACAAUAAAUAAAUUAUAUUUUUAAAUGUUUAAAAUAUAUUAAACAUAUAUAUUAAAAUAAAUUUAAAAUAUUGAAAGACGUCUGGGUUGUUUCCAGUUUUUGGCUAUUACAAAUAAAGCUGCUAUGAACAUUCAUAUGCAGGCUUUGAAUGAACAUUAAGUUUUCAUUCUCUGGAAUAAAUGUCUGAGAGUGCAAUUGCUGGGUCAUUUGGUAAGCAAACUAAAAACUCAUCACUUCCUAAUUAUUUUAUUACAUUUCCCUCCUAUCUGUGUCCUUGGGAUUAUUUAUAUCUAUUGUAUCUAUCUAGUGGCUGACUGAUGUCAUGUUGGUAUUUUUUUGUUGUUGUCAUUGGUUCUGUUUUUGUGAUGGAUUACACUUAUUGACCUGCAUAUGUUGAACCAGCCUUGCCUCCCAGGGAUAAAGCCAACUUCAUCGUGGUGUAUAAGCUUUUUGAUGUGCUGCUGGAUUCAGUUUGCCAGUGUUUUAUUGAGGAUUUUCACAUUGAUGUUCUUCAGGGAUAUUGGCCUCAAGUUUUCUUUUUUUUGCUGUGUCUCUGCCAGGUUUUAGUAUCAGGAUGAUGCUGGCCUCAUAAAAUGAGUUAGGGAGGUGUCCCUCCUUUUCAAUUGUUUGGAAUAGUUUCAGAAGUAUUGGGGGAACCCGCCCCCAAUAUUUCAACGUAGGUUCUUUCUAUUUUCCCUAAGUGUUGGCUGGUCUGAGAAAUAAAGAGUACAAAGAGAGGAAUUUUACAGCUGGGCUGCUGGGGGUGACAUCACAUAGCGGUAGGACCGUGAUGCCAACCUGAGCUGCAAAACCAGCAAGUUUUUAUCAGGGAUUUCAAAAGGGGAGGGGGUGUACAAACAGGGAGUAGGUCACAUGCUUUAAGGGGUAAAAAGCAGAGCAAAGAUCACAUGCUUCUGAGGAAACACAGCAAGGACAAAAUCAGAACUCCCGAUAAGGGUCUACGUUCAGCAGUGCACAUAUAGUCUUGAUAAACAUCUUAACAGAAAACAGGGUUCAAGAGCAGAGAACCAGUCUGAACUCAAAUUUACCAGGGUUGGGGUUUCCCAAUCCUAGUAAGCCUGAUGGUACUGCAGGAGACCAGGGCCUUAUCUCAACCACUUAAGACAGACACUCCCAGAGCCUUAUUUCAGGCUUUAUCUCAACCACUUAAGACAGACACUCCCAGAGUGGCCAUUUAUAGACCUCCCCCAAGGGAUGCAAUUAUUUUCCUAAGGUCUUAAUAUUAAUAUUUCUUGCUAGGAAAAGAAUUUAGCGAUAUCUCUCCUACUUGCACACCCAUUUAUAGGCUCUCUGCAAGAAGAAAAAUAUGGCUCUUUUUGCCUGACCCUACAGGCAGUCAGACCUUAUGGUUGUCUUCCCUUGUUCCCUAAAAUCACUGUUAUUCUGUUCUUUUUCAAGGUGCACUGAUUUCAUAUUGUUCAAACACACAUGUUUUACAAUCAAUUUGUACAGUAAACACAAUCAUCACAGUGAUCCUGAGGUGAUGUACAUCCUCAAUUUACGAAGAUAACAGGAUUAAGAGAUUAAAAUAAAGACAGGAGUAAGAAAUUAUGAAAGUAUUAUUUGGAAACUGAUAAAUGUCCAUGAAAUCUUCACAAUUUAUGUCCUCUGCCAAGGCUCCAGCCAGUCCCUCCAUUCGGGGUCCCUGAAUUCCUGCAACACAGAAGGAAUGGUACCAGUUCCUUUUUGUACCUCUGGUAGAAUUUGGCUGUGAAUCGUCUGGUCCUGGGCUUUUUUUGGUUGAUAGGCUAUUAAUUACUUUUUUUUUUUAAAGAUAGGGUCUCACUCUGUUGCCCAGUCUCGGGUAUAGUGGCACAGUCUCAGCUCACUGAAACCUCCACCUCCCAGUUCCAGUGAUCCUCCCAUCUCAGCCUCCCGAGUAGCUGGGAUUACAGGCAUGUGCCACCACACCCAGCUAAUUUUUGUAUUUUUAGUAGAGACAGAGUUUUACCAUGUUGGUCAGGAUAAUCUUGAACUCCUGGCCUCAAGUGAUCCACCCACCUUGGCCUCCCAAAGUGCUGGGACUACAGGUGUGAGCCACUGAGUCUGGCCUCAUAUUCAGAUUCUUGUGAGAAUACUUAUACCACAAGAAUGGGCAAACACUACAAAUCAGGGCUUUCCCCACCUCCUCUAGAGCCUGUUGUUAAGCAUCUGCCAGCACACCACUGGGUUGGCCUGCUUGUCAGAGUCUGAGGAUGUGGAGUGUGGUCUUUGAGGAGGAUGGGAGCAAGAGCUGAACUAGGAGCAGCAGGGUUGCCGGAUGCUGCUGCAGGCCCAGCUGAGGGAGGAGACCACAGUUGGACAGGGCCAGGCCUGCUGGCAUUAGCAAACGCCAUUGGCUGCAUUUGUUGAGGACUGGAGUUUUGCCAGGUGCCUGUAAGGGAAGAACAAUGGGGAGAGGGAGUUUAGAAUGGAAAGAGUUAGUGUUUGGUGCUGGAGCAUGGAUUUGAGAUGGAAAGGGAGAGAUGUGGAGAAACAGAGAUUGUGGGAUGGGCAUGGAGGUGUCCAUGGGCUGAAAGUCCCAAAGAGCCAGAGGAACAGUGUGUCACAGGUGACUGAGCUAAUCUGCUAGAGUGGAG
rnacentral:lncRNA from 1 species